rnacentral:rRNA from 1 species
UGGGGAAUUUUGGACAAUGGGGGAAACCCUGAUCCAGCCAUCCCGCGUGUGCGAUGAAGGCCUUCGGGUUGUAAGCACUUUUGGCAGGAAAGAAACGUCGCGGGUUAAUACCCCGCGAAACUGACGGUACCUGCAGAAUAAGCACCGGCUAACUACGUGCCAGCAGCCGCGGUAAUACGUAGGGUGCAAGCGUUAAUCGGAAUUACUGGGCGUAAAGCGUGCGCAGGCGGUUCGGAAAGAAAGAUGUGAAAUCCCAGAGCUUAACUUUGGAACUGCAUUUUUAACUACCGGGCUAGAGUGUGUCAGAGGGAGGUGGAAUUCCGCGUGUAGCAGUGAAAUGCGUAGAUAUGCGGAGGAACACCGAUGGCGAAGGCAGCCUCCUGGGAUAACACUGACGCUCAUGCACGAAAGCGUGGGGAGCAAACAGGAUUAGAUACCCUGGUAGUCCACGCCCUAAAACGAUGUCAAACUAGCUGUUGGGGCCUUCGGGCCUUGGUAGCGCAGCUAACGCGUGAAGUUGACCGCCUGGGGAGUACGGUC